rnacentral:rRNA from 1 species
AUUUAUUAAUUAUUUUAUAUCUUUUUAAUUAAAAUUAAUUUAAUAGAAAUAACUUUUAUUUUAGUAUUUUUUAAAGAAUAAAUUAUCAUUAUAUAUAGUUUAUAUUAACUGUAAAGGUUAAUUAUUUCAUAAAAUAAAAGUAGAUCUUAAUUUUUGUACCUUUUGUAUCAGGGUUUAUCAAUAUAUUUAAUUUAUUUAAUUAAUUUCCCGAAAUUAAAAGAGAUAUUAAUAUCUGGUAUUUAAUGUUUUAAAAUUAUUACUAAGUAAUUAAUAGAAGUUAUAUGCUAUUCAUUUUUAAUAUAUCUGGUUUCUUAAUAAUUGAAUUUAAUUCAGGAUUAAUUGAUUUUAAGGUAUUAUUUAAUUUAUCUUAAUCUUUUUAAUUUAAGAUUAAAGGGGAUAAGCUCUUUAAUUUCUCUAUAUUAAUUAUAUUAAAUGGUAAUUUGUAGGAUUAGGAAUUUCCAUCAUUUAUUUUGUUAUAAUUAAUUAUCAUUAUUAAUUUAUUUAAAAUUUAAUUAGUUUUUUAUUAAGAAUUAUAUAUUUAAUUUAUAAUUAAUAGUUAUAAUGAUAAAAUUAGUAUGUUUAUUUAAUUAAUAUAUAGUAACUUGGCAAUAAUAUUCUUCACCUGUUUAACAAAAACAUGGCUUAAUGUAUUUUUAUAUUAAGUUUAACCUGCUCAAUGAUUAUUAAAUUUUAAUUAAAUAGCCGCAGUAUCUUGACUGUGCGAAGGUAGCAUAAUCAUUUGUCUUUUAAUUGAAGGCUUGUAUGAAUGGUUGAAUGAAGGAAUAUCUUUCUUUAUAUUAAUGAUUGAAUUUAAUUUUUGAGUUAAAAAGCUUAAAUUUUUAAAUGGGACGAGAAGACCCUAUAGAGUUUUAUUUAAUAUAUUUUUAUAUAAUUUUGGAUUAUUAUUUUAUAUAAUUUUAAUUUAAAUUCUGUUGGGGUGAUGUUGAGAUUAUAAAAACUCUCAUAUUUAAAUAAUUUAUUAAUGAUUAUAUUAAGGAUCCUAUUUUAAGGAUAUAUAGAUUAAAUUACCUUAGGGAUAACAGCGUAAUUUUAUUGGAGAGUUCUUAUCGAUGAUAAAGUUUGCGACCUCGAUGUUGGAUUAAAAUUAGAUUUAAGUGCAGCUGCUUAAUUUCUAGGUCUGUUCGACCUUUAAAAUUUUACAUGAUCUGAGUUCAGACCGGCGUGAGCCAGGUCGGUUUCUAUCUUUUUUGUAAUUUCCAUAAAUUAGUACGAAAGGACCUUUUAUGGCAAAUAGUUUGUUUAAAUUGAAUUAUAAU